CGAAGUGAACGACGAAUUCGACACUGGGUACACAGCUACGACGUGUGUAGUUCCUUUGGGAAAACUUGAGAAUCUAUUUUGGCCGUUGAAAGGCGCGCGGGAACGCGUUCGCCGCGGGUUUCUCGAGUCGCGGUGCUUUAGUACGGUCAGCCUCUCCGCUUCGUGCAGAACUUCGUCGAUCCCGGAAUAGUUUCAUCGGUUGCUCGUUGAAGUUCUUCGCGCGGCUGUUGCACGGGCCAGUUUUCACUUGUUGCGAGCGUGUUCGUUCACGAAUUCCAUCAUCGUUCUAAUAAUUCCAACCGUCGCGUAAUUUGAUUUUUCUUGGCGGCUCCUGCUUGUGUAUCGAUCGAGAAUAAAGAGGAACUAUCCAUAGUACAAUAAAAAGUAUCGAAUUUCUUUUGAAUAUCUUCAGUUCAUUCGUUGACACGAUCGUUCAACCUGGAAGCCGAUACGGAGAACGCGGGGAUGGAUGUGACGGACGUCCUCGGUCCUGACGCCUCGUCGGCGAACGAUAAGGAUGUUGUAAACAACGACAAUAAUAAUGGCAACAACGAGGACGAUGAAGCGCCCACUGUGGAGGAGACGUACGAGGUCACCACUACCAAACGGAAGACCGUUCGGACGAGCUACAAGAUCCAAGAAACUUCUUCAUCGACCAAAACUACCACUAUGACAACUGCAGCAAAGCUUUAUGGCAAGGAUUUGAGUGAAUACGAUGAUGUGGAUGUGGAUGAUUUGUUGGCACAACUCACCCCAGAAGAAAUUAAUAUAUUAGCAAAGGAAGUGGAUCCUGAUGAUAGCUUUAUGCCACCAUCACAACGUUGUAGCUAUGAAUGUGACAAGAGUCCUACAGGACCGCUAAAUCGCAAGAAACUUAUUGAACACAUCAACAAACAAGCUUUAGAGACACCAGAUAGACCGGAAUUAAAACCUUAUGUACCUGGUGUAAUAAGAGGGAAAAAGUGGGUUCCUCCUCCUCAAGAAACUGCAAAAGAAAAAGAAGCAGAUGAGCAAAUUGCUAUUGAUCUUGGAGAAGAAUAUGAGCAAGCAUUGUCUAAUGCUACUCAAGAAGAAAUUAUUGAUCUUGCUGCUAUUCUUGGAUUUCAUUCCAUGAUGAAUCAAGAUCAGUAUCAUGCUUCCCUAUUAAAUUCUGGCCAACCUGUUGGUUUGGGUUGGGAUGGUGUAACAAAAGCUAGUCAACCAAAACCUUAUCCAAUGGAACCACCUAAUGAUACAGACGUUGAUGCCACUAUUAAACAAGUGCGAGAAGACGAUACUUCGCUAAUUGAUUUAAAUUGGAAUAACAUCAAAAAUAUAUCUGAUGAAAAGUUUAUCCAACUAUUUGAAGGGCUGGAGAUAAAUACACAUCUCGAAUCCUUAAGUUUAACAAAUGUGGGACUCACUGAUAAGACUGCACAAAGGUUGGCAGAUGCCUUAGAGAAAAAUUCUACGCUCAGAGUACUCAAUGUGGAAACAAACUUUAUAAGCCCAGCUGUGAUAGUGAGGCUCAUCAGGGCACUCCUUAAAACGAAGUCAAUAGAAGAAUUUCGAUGUUCGAAUCAGAGGUCACAGGUGUUGGGAAAUAAAAUUGAGAUGGAAAUUACACAAUUGGUGGAACAAAAUCCGACAUUGCUCCGACUUGGUCUUCACUUGGAAUUUAACGAUGCUAGACAUCGCGUGGCCGCACAUUUACAACGCAACAUUGAUAGGAUACGGAAAGACCUAACGCUGCGGCUACAGUUCCGAUUCUUUAACAUGAACCACAGGAAACCUGCCUUGAUUCAAUGAAAGUACGGCAGUCCCGGCUCGGGGUGGCGACAUCUUAACGCGAAGUGGCGUUCGCCUAGAUCGUCUACACCGCACGGGAAGGUCUUCCCGCAAUUAUACCAUCGGUUGGGCCGUACGUCGAUGAUGAUGAUCACCAACGUUCACGAAUCUCGACAAGGACGACCUUUCAUGGCGACCAAGACGCUCGAGUAAUCUGUCAGCGACCAUUUAUUGUAUUAAUCGGAUCAAUUUGGUAUUUAGAAUAAGACAGAAGUUUUAAAUUAUAUGAUUUUCAAAAGAAUGCAGUUUAGACGAAUGACAAUUCAUUUUUAAGUUCAUUCGUUUGCGAUUGAGGGAUGAUCAACCCUUAACUGCUACGUGAGAUAACGCGAUAUCUCGAACGUUAUAAAUAUCGUUGUAAUUUUGUUUUCAAGCAACAAAUGACACUGAGUGCCGCUAAUCUUCGGCUACUAAUUUAUUAAUAAUUACAAACUGUGUAACAUUAAAGCUACGAUAUUACAAUGUUACAUUUACGAUGUCGAUUAAUUAAAAAUAUUACGACAUUGGAUUUUAUAUUUAUUUAUAAUUUAUAAGAAAAUUUAAAUUUUUAUUGCGGAGCAAUUCGCAACCAGCGAACUCGCGUGAGUUUCUAUUUCAAUGUAGCAGUUAUGGGUUAAAUAUAAUAGUUUAUCAGUGCAAUCUAGAAUAGCGGAUAGUUUGGAGUAAUUUAAGUUGCUUUCAAAGCGUUGUGAAGCAUCGAUCUGUUUUUAAAAUGGACCAAUUCUGGUUGCAUUUGAGAUAUUUAAAAUUAUCGAAAAGCAAGUCACACAAGUGACGGAGAACUUUUCUAAUUUCCCAGGACUUUUGCUUUAGUUCUUGGAAGAAAAUUCUCUCAACGUUUCUACAUUCAAAUUGUGCUUUUACAUUCGAUUCAUCAACCAUUUGAAAAGUUUACGGAUCUGGAAAUUGUAGAACCUCGAAAGUUUCGACCUUUAACUAACGAGAAAGAAGAUAUUGGAAAUCUGAAAUCUUCCAGAUUUCAUAUAAGUCCGAAUUUCUAGAGAAUCUUACAAGGACACGAGUGAAAAAAUGUUCAAUAGACACGCACAGGUUGAAAGUAACGAAGCUUCGGUACUGAAAGCUUUCGUGCGUUCGAGCUUCUCUUUUUUUCUUCAAGAAUUUGUGGACCAUCUGGAAAUACCACUGUCGUUCGAGAGCACUUAGCGUUCAUAGCUAAAACAGAUACCAAUUUUCAAAGAAGAUAUAUCCAAUUUUUGGACCGUUUCGUGAUCUAGUAAUACUAAAACGAAAAUCGUAGAAGGAAACUUUUCAGGAUUCUAAAUUGAAAAUGAUCCAGAUCUUGUAUGAAUUUGGCACGUUGAUAAAUGUAAAAAAGGUAACAUAUAUCUAACAUAUUUUUUAUUUACUUGAUCAUCUCUUUUUCUCUUCGAUUAAGUUAAAAUAGGAAAUCAUUGUCUGUCUCGAAUUCGCUUGGUUAAAAUUCGAUUAUAUUUAAAAACGUCAAUCGCGUUUCUCAAAACGGUUCGAACGAAUUUUGUUAUAAUUAUACUUGAGUUCGUUACUGUGUUCGUGUUCUUGCAAUUAAUUAUGCUUACAAGCAACAAAUAAGACAAACGUUUAUCAUCUAUAUCGAUUCGAAAUAAAGGUGUGAUAUCAGAACCGAGCGUUAAAAUUAUAUGAAAAAAUGAGAGAAAAAAAAAAAGGAAAGAUUAAGAAACACAAUUCGAUGCUUCCUAUCGCUAUCGAUCGAAUUCGAUCUCGUCGAUUACUUCUCUGGUGGUUCUCGCGAUAAAGGGGUUCCGCGGUUUUGGUUUCGAAAGCAGCCUAGCCGUUCCGGCGACGCUUCCGGUUUCCCUUCCCAGCGCAUUCAGAGCUCCCGGAAGUGUCUCGUUUUCCCAACCGGAUGCCACGGAACCCGCUGAAUCGCACCUGACCACUUCCUGCGUCCAAUACCCUUUAUCGUCCCUCUUCGCAGGUCAACGAAUUUCAACGUCGUCCCCAGACUCUACGAUCGUCUCCCUCUCUCUCUCUCUCUCUCUCUCUUUCUCCCUUCUAUUUUAUUUUUAUUUCGCAUCGUUUCGAUGGAAGUUUUGUCAAAUUUACUCCGUAAAUUCCAAUACCAUCGACGGUCAACAUAAAUCGAGCGCACAGUCGUUUCGUUCCCGUUUUCGAAUUUUAUUUCACCGAUUUCAUCCGACGCUCGAAAGUUGGGCGGAUAGAAUCGAUGAAAUUUUUUUCGCGUCACAUGCCAGUUUUCACGAACUUUAACGGCGGAAAUUUCACACGAGUUUCGUCGUUGGAAGAAUUCCACUUUUACUCUCUCAGCGAAGAGUCUACGUAACACGUUGCUCUUACCGUUCACGUUUAGCCCGGGUUAUUUCUGUUUUGCUAGCGUGCAACUUCAUUUUUGAUCAUUUGCUUAAAACAAAUCAAGAAGCUUUCGCACGACGCUACCUACGUUCGCUAUAAAAUUGAUUUUCAAGUAAAUGCUUCCGCGCGAAACGAUCGCACUCGACGUCGUGCCGUUCGGAUGAAACUGAAUCGUGUUCGUCCGUGAAAUUCAAUUGCUUUUCGUUCUAUUAGAUUGGUGUAUAUGAAAUGUCGUUUCUUGGAACGCGAAACUUUAACCAGCCGAAGUUUUUUCCCAAACAUCGAAUAUAAAGUAACGUCCCAUUGAAUUUUUCGAAAGCUUUUCCUAACCAUAGAUUUAUAAAAAUGAUCACCUAUUAAAGAAUUCUCUCGUGUAGAAAAAUAUCUCUUCUUCAAACGCUAAAUUUACGUCCUCAGCGAUGUUCGUGACAAUUCUCCAAAUUUAAUCUCAUGUAAGGAAAUUAUACGAAUAUUCCAAUUAUUCACGAUGAUAUCGAUCAAUCAAAAUCGAAUUCAAAUCUUGUGCACACGUUUUAGACGUGUCAAUCUAGAAAUUCUUCUGUUAAAAAUUUUAUUAAAAAUCAUCUAUUCUCCCGAUUUUAGAGAAACGAUAUUUUACAUGCGUCGAGCUAAUAAUUUCCUUUUAUCUCGCUAUUUUGUAAAAAAUCGUCUAACAAAAGACUCUAGAAAAUCUCGAUUUUCUUUUACAUUUUUCCUCUUAAGUGAUCAACGAGAGAGACUUGUGUGCGUAUAACUUGUUUUUUUUUUUUUUUUUUUUAACGUUCCUGUUGAAACACUUGAAACGGAGCGAUGUUAUGUCACUUGGGCCGCGUGAUCGGAAGAGCGUCGAGUGUUGCACCCUCAAAAGUUCGGUGAAACGAGUCGCCUUUGACGUAACGUUCAUUCGUCGACACUCGAAAUCAUCCUGAAAAUCGUCCUCGCUCGUAAGUAGCUGUCAGAGUAUCAAGAACGAUCGUUUCUACGAGUAGCGAACGAAACUAAUAUCUCGAGAAGUUAAAUGGCGUCUCCGACGUGGAAGAUUAGUUCUUGGCUAGUUUCGAUGGCUGCCCCGCGUUGUGAUACAAUUUUGAAGCGAUAACAUUCGGUAGAAAUUUAGGCGGAUUUUGUUAAAAUAUAUGGGGUAGAUUGUUGCUAUCAAACGAAACACCUUGUUUCUGUGACAUUUUAAUUUUUCAGACGAUAAUAUGAAUUAAAAAAGUUAGAAUGAUAUAUUAAUAUAUAAAUAUCGUGUAGUAGAUAUUUUAUACCGUUACAUGAACUUGUCUUAUUUCAAUUAAUAUCGUGUAACAACUGAGAUAAACAUUCGUAUGUUUUCUAUUUAAUUUUUACUAAUAAGAAACUUUACAAGUCACAAGGUAUUGAUAUUGAUCACAAGGUAUUCUUGCGUAACAUUAACAAGUUUGGUAACGAAAAUUAUGAAACUUCACAACCAAAUUUUCCACGUAUAUUUGUGAAUCGAUCUACUCAACGAAAAAUGAUAAAAAUUUGUAACUUGUAAGUUUAGCGAUAAUAUUAGUUGGUAAAUGAUUGUGCAAGAGAAUGUUGGAUUAGCAAAUUAUUUGUUCCACGUUCUUCUCUUAUCCUUGCAACGAUAAAGCUUAUUCUCUAUACACCAAAAUUUCUACUGUGUAUUUCACGGUUCGUUAUCGUCGAACCAACUCGGUGGACGAUUAAAUUCCAAGUAAAAUCGAUUCUAAACCCCUGCAAAAUUACACGAGAGUUAACUGAAGAUAAUAUUAAAAGAAAUUUCAAGCUGCGACUUGGACUAUCCUUGUGAUGCUACGGCGGUAACAGACUGUGCCACGUAACAACCGCUUUAAACGAAUCUUUCCGCCAUAUUAACCGGUCGGAGGUCGCCUGGAUUUCCCGUGAAAUAUCAUUUUUAGCCGGUGACCGCCGUGGGCGGGCAUUCGAGGAACGGCUGACCAGGACUCUUUUCGUGCGGUCGUGUCGAAUAUUGUCUGUAAUCGAGAGAACGUUUCUGAGAGAAUGAGAUCGACCGAAUGGGUGGGAGUGAAUGUAAUAUACGAGUCGUUUCUGUCGCCUCUCGUCGUUUCGAACGCGUGCAGUCCUUGCGUUGGAGACACACCGUGGUAAACCCCAGAGCGGUUUUAUCGCAUCGCGAGAUGUAAGAAAUUUGCCAGUAAUAUUAAUAUAUUACCACACUUCUCCUAAUGGUAGGUCGUAUGCUUCGUGGAAAGUUUCGUCGAACUUGGAAAAGGAACGGCUGGCAGAAAUUCUUGGUUAGCGAAAAUUUGGUUAGUUGUGGAAUAAACAGAUUCUUCGAUGAAUAACUCUUGCAUAUCGUUGUAUUUUUCAGUUUGAAAUUAUACAAAAAUUGAGAAACUGUUUGGUAUAGUAGAUGGAAGAAUUGGUUUUUAAAAACACCAACAUCGAUCGAAGAUUUUUCUUUUACUUUGACCAGACGUCCUUCUUUUUCAAAAGUCUUGUAAUCGAUCAAUGAUACUGCAAACUAACAAUAAGUAGAUUAUCUUCAGAAAAUUCGACCAAGCUUUCCUCUAUAUGCGAGUUGAAUAACGAUCGGAGAUGAUCGUUUCUUGGAAAAAUAAAAAGAGAAAAAGAAGGUGGAGGAAAAGGGAAACUUCGCUGUCCCUUUCGUGAUUCGUUAGGUUUCUAUUAUAUUCAGGUUUCUGAUCAGCGAAAUAGCUUCUCAUCUCCGGUCGUUGCAUACGCGAUAUUCGUUAAGGUACUAAUGAAACUAUUAUUCUAAUUAAUGAUUAGCAUCGAUACGAUAUCAGUCUGUACAUAUUGUCUUCGCUGUCAUUUCUUAUACUUCGUCGUGACUUGUAAAUGCAGUAGAGAACGAAUGGUCGCGUGUAUGAUCGACUUGUGCAAGAAAUUCGCUCGCACGAGCGAAGAAUGAACGACGUAUAGAAAAAAAAAGUGAGAAUUCGACGCGUUUAACCUCUUGAGGGAAAUGAUGUUAUUUAACAUUAUCUGUCAGUUGAGAAGUAAGAAAUAUUUAUUUGUCUCUUGUCUUUUUCUUUUAUUAGAUUUAUCCCUGGAGAGGUUAAUGGAUAUAGAAAAAUAAAAGUAAAGAUGAGACAUUUUAACGAGCGUAACGUAUGUUUAUCGCGUGUCUCGAUGUUAGAAAUAGAAAUAAUUGAUUAAGAAAAAUGACGGUAUAGUCAUUUGUCUCGCUCGCGGCCUUUCCAAUACGCCUUCUUCUUUGUAAUUCACGUAUUUGCAUACACACUCCGGCACACGAUACGCAUAUUGCAUCCAUGUACCAAACUAAAAUGCACGCGCACGAUCGAAAAGCCUUGCUGCUAGCCUUAUCUUGUAACACGAAGUAUGAAUAAAUCAUUGAAAACGUAAAAA